rnacentral:SRP_RNA from 1 species
GCCAGGCAUGGUGGUGUGUGCCUGUGAUCCCAGCUACUUGGGAGGCUGAGGUGGGAGGAUCGCUUGAGUCCAGGAGGUGGAGGUUGCAGUGAGCCAGGAUUGCAUCACUGCACUCCAACCUGGGCGACAGAGUGAGACCCUGUCUCAA